rnacentral:rRNA from 1 species
AACCAACAGGGAUUGCCCUAGUAACGGCGAGUGAAGCGGCAACAGCUCAAAUUUGAAAUCUGGCGCAAGCCCGAAUUGUAAUUUGUAGAGGAUGCUUCUGGGUUGCCACCGGUCUAAGUUCCUUGGAACAGGACGUCAUAGAGGGUGAGAAUCCCGUAUGUGACCGGCCGGCGCCCUCCACGUAGCUCCUUCGACGAGUCGAGUUGUUUGGGAAUGCAGCUCUAAAUGGGAGGUAAAUUUCUUCUAAAGCUAAAUAUUGGCCAGAGACCGAUAGCGCACAAGUAGAGUGAUCGAAAGAUGAAAAGCACUUUGGAAAGAGAGUUAAAAAGCACGUGAAAUUGUUGAAAGGGAAGCACUUACAGCCAGACUUGUCGGCGGUGUUCCGCCGGUCUUCUGACCGGUUCAUUCGCCGUCGGCAGGCCAGCAUCACUUGGGGCCGCCGGAGAAAGGCCGGGGGAAAGUAGCUCCGCUUCGGCGGAGUGUUAUAGCCCCCGGUGCAAUACGGCGCGUCCCGGGUGAGGUCCGCGCUUCGGCUAGGAUGCUGGCGUAAUGGCUGUUAGUGGCCCGUCUUGAAACACGGACCAAGGAGUCGACCAUCUGUGCGAGUGUUCGGGUGUCAAACCCCUACGCGGAAUGAAAGUGAACGGAGGUGGGAACCUUAGGGUGCACCAUCGACCGAUCCUGAUGUCUUCGGAUGGAUUUGAGUAAGAGCAUAGCUGGUCGGACCCGAAAGAUGGUGAACUAUGCCUGAAUAGGGUGAAGCCAGAGGAAACUCUGGUGGAGGCUCGCAGCGGUUCUGACGUGCAAAUCGAUCGUCAAAUUUGGGUAUAGGGGCGAAA